AUACCUCUCCCUCGAGUACUAUGUAUUCAUAUACCACUUGUAUGUUGUCGAAUGUGAUCAAUGGGCUUAUAUGCCUAUAAUAAUCAUAUACAACUUUCAGCAACGGAUCUCUUGGCUCUCGCAUCGAUGAAGAACGCAGCGAAAUGCGAUAAGUAAUGUGAAUUGCAGAAUUCAGUGAAUCAUCGAAUCUUUGAACGCACCUUGCGCUCCUUGGUAUUCCGAGGAGCAUGCCUGUUUGAGUGUCAUUAAAUUCUCAACCCCUCCAGCUUUUGCGAGUUGUGAUGGGGCUUGGAUAUGGGGGUUUGCGGGCCUUUAUUAAGAGGUCGGCUCUCCUGAAAUACAUUAGCGGAACCGUUUGCAGUCCCGUCACUAGUGUGAUAAUUAUCUACACUGUGAUGAUUGCUCUCUGACUAGUUCAGCUGCUAAUAGUCCCUUGUUGGACAACAUUAAUGAACUUCUUGACCUCAAAUCAGGUAGGACUACCCGCUGAACUUAAGCAUAUCAAUAAGCGG
rnacentral:rRNA from 1 species